rnacentral:lncRNA from 1 species
CAUUAGGAUAGGGAAACAAAGGUGAAGUCCUUGCCUAGUUUCCGUCUCGUUAAGUGGUUUAACACUUCAACACUUAAAUGAUUCAAAAUCAUCAUAAGUCCAUGUUAAUGGACUAUUUUUGUCAACCAACCAUUAUGUUCUAAACAUAAUUACAAACUUUCAAGAGUUGUACAAGGCAACUCUCAUUUCUUCAUACAACAUUUGGAAGUGAAGAAUCAUGGCACAUUAA